UUCUUCUUCUGCCGUUUUCCGCCUCAUCUUGUCCAUCCGAAAGGUGAGCGAAGCCAUCCGUGUUCUUUCCCUUUCUUUGACCUACAGUGGUGAGGGUUGAUCGUGAGUAACUUUGGAGACCGUUAGCAGCUCCGGCGAUCAGCGUAGUUCUCGUAGCAAGCAAGUCGGCGGCAGUGUUGUGGUUCUCCGGUUAGCGAACAGUCCAUCAACGACAACCACAACAGCCCUCCACCGGCAGCUCGGGUGACGGACCUGCAUGGCUUGUGUGAACAGAUGGUGGAGCUCGGCAAAACAGCAACUGGUUUGCCCCUUCGACGUUCCUACGGCAACCUCGGAGCAAGUAAGGUGGCAGCUUUUCUCUGGCGGUGACGGUCGACGUCUCUCCGAUAGUCAGUGGGCUUGAGUAGCUUAUGGCGAGCGCGUUAGCUGUCGGGUUGUUAGUGUAGCUCCCUUGGACUGAUCAGUUAGUGUUUUGGGCCUGUGUGUCAUGGUUGUAAGGAUAUGAAUAGUAUGUUUUGUUCAGACUAGCCUGUGCAUCCGCAUUGAGGUGGAUGUGGCAUAUCACUUCCCGUUUUUUCCUUUUCCUAAGUAAAGUCUUCCGCUGAUGUUUUAUAUAUUA